ensembl:lncRNA IQ motif containing C
CCCGGAAGUAAAUCAAAAGUUCGAAGUAAAUCCCGCUCGCCUCUCUGCGCUGUCGCUGUCAUGUUACCAUAGCAAUGGACAGAGACAAAUGGGAGAAGACAAUUACACAGUUUCAGGCAUGCAUACGCGGAUACUUAGUGAGGAAAGAGGUCCGCAGUGCACAAGAAGACUUCGAAAAGAUUGUGAAAGAGAUUGAUGGGGGGUUGACCCAGUUAAAGUGGACGGGGACGGUCAUCUCUUUCCCCCACUUCACUGACGCUGGCGGACCAUAUGUACUAUCCUGCACCUCUGCUAGCAAGCCCUCAGACGCAGGAGCAUGUGUCAGUGCCAGAUCCCAGAGCCCUGCGCCCUUACCAGAGGAGAGAGAUCACUGUGUCCUGCUGGAGAAGACAGAGGCAGAGAGAGACGAGGCACAUGUCUGUUUACCCAGUAGCUCCGAGGAGCAGGGACAGAGGACUGUGGAGAAUAAAGAUGGAGAGGUGAUGGAGAGCCUCGAGAGGUCCUCCAUCUGGAGCAGUUUGGAGUUAGACAUGAAUUACGACCCCUCAUACAAAGGACCUCCUCAGCAGCACUGCUUGGCUCAGGAGGUGCCCCGUACCCCAGAGGCCCUUCGUCUCCAUAGAAACACCCUCACCAUGGAGCUCGUCUGGCUCCAGCAAGCCAUUGACAGCAGGAAAAAGGUAAUACAGG